CUGAAAUCAAGUAGUGCGACCCGCUGAACUUAAGCAUAUCAAUAAGCGGAGGA
rnacentral:rRNA from 1 species